AUACGUAUGUUCCAAGCGUUAUCCGGAUUUAUUGGGCGUAAAGCGAGCGCAGACGGUUAUUUAAGUCUGAAGUGAAAGCCCUCAGCUCCACUGAGGAAUGGCUUUGGAAACUGGAUGACUUGAGUGCAGUAGAGGAAAGUGGAACUCCAUGUGUAGCGGUGAAAUGCGUAGAUAUAUGGAAGAACACCAGUGGCGAAGGCGGCUUUCUGGACUGUAACUGACGUUGAGGCUCGAAAGUGUGGGUAGCAAACAGGAUUAGAUACCCUGGUAGUCCACACCGUAAACGAUGAGUGCUAGAUGUUCGAGGGUUUCCGCCCUUGAGUGUCACAGCUAACGCAUUAAGCACUCCGCCUGGGGAGUACGACCGCAAGGUUGAAACUCAAAUGAAUUGACGGGG
rnacentral:rRNA from 1 species